rnacentral:rRNA from 1 species
AAUCAACGCUGGCGGCGUGCCUAACACAUGCAAGUCGAACGCGAAAGCCUCGCAAGGGGUAAGUAGAGUGGCGCACGGGUGAGUAACACGUGGAUAACCUGCCUUCGAGUGGGGAAUAACUUUCCGAAAGGAAAGCUAAUACCGCAUAAAACCUUUGGUCAAAAGACUGAAGGUUGAAAAGAGCAAUUUGCUCGAAGAGGGGUCCGCGCCUGAUUAGCUAGUUGGUGAGGUAACGGCUCACCAAGGCUCCGAUCAGUAGCCGUCCUGAGAGGGAGCACGGCCACACUGGAAC